GAUGAAGAACGUAGCGAAAUGCGAUAAGUAAUGCGAAUUGCAGAAUUUCCGUGAGUCAUCGAAUCUUUGAACGCACAUUGCGCCCACUGGUAUUCCGGUGGGCAUGCCUGUUCGAGCGUCAUUAUCCUCCCUCAAACCCCGGGUUUGGUGUUGGACCCAAGUUGUGUGAACAACUGGUCUUAAAGACAAUGACGGCGUCCGUGGGACCCUCGGUGCAACGAGCUUUUAGGAGCGCGCAUCGAGUUGCAAGGACCUUCCGGGCCGGUCUCCUUUACUAUUUUACAAGGUUGACCUCGGAUCAGGUAGGAAUACCCGCUGAACUUAAGCAUAUCAAUAAGCGGAGGA
rnacentral:misc_RNA from 1 species